rnacentral:tRNA from 1 species
AUAAAGGUAUUGUACAGGAACAGUGUAGUAGAACCAGCAUAAGCUAUAGACCUGGGUUCAAAUCCCAGUUUUUACA